AUUGAACGCUGGCGGCAGGCCUAACACAUGCAAGUCGAACGAGUGGCGGACGGGUGAGUAAUGUCUGGGAAACUGCCCGAUGGAGGGGGAUAACUACUGGAAACGGUAGCUAAUACCGCAUACCAUCGGAUGUGCCCAGAUGGGAUUAGCUAGUGGGUGGGGUAACGGCUCACCUAGGCGACGAUCCCUCGCUGGUCUGAGAGGAUGACAAGCGAAACUGGAACGGAGACACGGUCAAGACUCCUAAGGGAGGCAGCAGUGGGGAAUAGUGCACAAUGGGCGCAAGCAUGAUGCAGCCAGGCCGCGUGUAUGAAGAAGGCCUUCGGGUUGUAAAGUACUUUCAGCGAGUAGGCGUUACUCGCAGAAGAAGCACCGGCUAACUCCGUGCCAGCCGCCGCGGUAAUUC
rnacentral:rRNA from 1 species